UACGUAGGGUGCAAGCGUUGUCCGGAAUUAUUGGGCGUAAAGAGCUCGUAGGCGGUCUGUCGCGUCGGCUGUGAAAAACUCGGGGGCUCAACUCCGAGCUUGCAGUCGAUACGGGCAGGCUAGAGUUCGGCAGGGGAGACUGGAAUUCCUGGUGUAGCGGUGAAAUGCGCAGAUAUCAGGAGGAACACCGGUGGCGAAGGCGGGUCUCUGGGCCGAUACUGACGCUGAGGAGCGAAAGCGUGGGGAGCGAACAGG
rnacentral:rRNA from 1 species